rnacentral:rRNA from 1 species
AAUACAUGCAAGUCGUACGCUUCUUUUUCCACCGGAGCUUGCUCCACCGGAAAAAGAAGAGUGGCGAACGGGUGAGUAACACGUGGGUAACCUGCCCAUCAGAAGGGGAUAACACUUGGAAACAGGUGCUAAUACCGUAUAACAAUCGAAACCGCAUGGUUUUGAUUUGAAAGGCGCUUUCGGGUGUCGCUGAUGGAUGGACCCGCGGUGCAUUAGCUAGUUGGUGAGGUAACGGCUCACCAAGGCCACGAUGCAUAGCCGACCUGAGAGGGUGAUCGGCCACAUUGGGACUGAGACACGGCCCAAACUCCUACGGGAGGCAGCAGUAGGGAAUCUUCGGCAAUGGACGAAAGUCUGACCGAGCAACGCCGCGUGAGUGAAGAAGGUUUUCGGAUCGUAAAACUCUGUUGUUAGAGAAGAACAAGGAUGAGAGUAACUGUUCAUCCCUUGACGGUAUCUAACCAGAAAGCCACGGCUAACUACGUGCCAGCAGCCGCGGUAAUACGUAGGUGGCAAGCGUUGUCCGGAUUUAUUGGAGCGUAAAGCGAGCGCAGGCGGUUUCUUAAGUCUGAUGUGAAAGCCCCCGGCUCAACCGGGGAGGGUCAUUGGAAACUGGGAGACUUGAGUGCAGAAGAGGAGAGUGGAAUUCCAUGUGUAGCGGUGAAAUGCGUAGAUAUAUGGAGGAACACCAGUGGCGAAGGCGGCUCUCUGGUCUGUAACUGACGCUGAGGCUCGAAAGCGUGGGGAGCAAACAGGAUUAGAUACCCUGGUAGUCCACGCCGUAAACGAUGAGUGCUAAGUGUUGGAGGGUUUCCGCCCUUCAGUGCUGCAGCUAACGCAUUAAGCACUCCGCCUGGGGAGUACGACCGCAAGGUUGAAACUCAAAGGAAUUGACGGGGGCCCGCACAAGCGGUGGAGCAUGUGGUUUAAUUCGAAGCAACGCGAAGAACCUUACCAGGUCUUGACAUCCUUUGACCACUCUAGAGAUAGAGCUUCCCCUUCGGGGGCAAAGUGACAGGUGGUGCAUGGUUGUCGUCAGCUCGUGUCGUGAGAUGUUGGGUUAAGUCCCGCAACGAGCGCAACCCUUAUUGUUAGUUGCCAUCAUUUAGUUGGGCACUCUAGCAAGACUGCCGGUGACAAACCGGAGGAAGGUGGGGAUGACGUCAAAUCAUCAUGCCCCUUAUGACCUGGGCUACACACGUGCUACAAUGGGAAGUACAACG